AUUGAACGCUGGCGGCAGGCCUAACACAUGCAAGUCGAACGAGUGGCGGACGGGUGAGUAAUGUCUGGGAAACUGCCUGAUGGAGGGGGAUAACUACUGGAAACGGUAGCCAAUACCGCAUACUAUCAGAUGAGCCCAGAUGGGAUUAGCUUGUUUGUGGGGUAACGGCUCACAAAGGCGACGAUCCCUAGCGGGUCUGAGAGGAUGACCGGCCACAUGGGAACGGAGAAAGGGCCCAGACCCCAAGGGGAGGCAGCGGUGGGAAAUAUCGGAAAUGGGGCGCAAGCCGGAUGCAGAAAGGCGGCGUGUAUGAGGAAGGCUUUGGGGUUGUAAGGUACUUUCAGCGGGGAGGCGGUACCCGCAGAAGAAGCAACGGCUAACUCCGUGCCAGCAGCCGCGGUAAUAC
rnacentral:rRNA from 1 species